UACGUAGGGUGCGAGCGUUGUCCGGAAUUAUUGGGCGUAAAGGGCUCGUAGGCGGUCUGUUGCGUCAGGAGUGAAAACCCGGGGCUCAACCCCGGGCCUGCAUUCGAUACGGGCAGACUAGAGUUCGGUAGGGGAGUCUGGAAUUCCUGGUGUAGCGGUGAAAUGCGCAGAUAUCAGGAGGAACACCGGUGGCGAAGGCGGGUCUCUGGGCCGAUACUGACGCUGAGGAGCGAAAGCGUGGGGAGCGAACAGG
rnacentral:rRNA from 1 species